AGCAGUUGGGCACAAUAUUGCAACACCAACACCGUGAGUGAAACAAUGACAGGGGCAGCCUACUAUAUAAAGUACUCGAGGACCAUUUCUUUAUUAGUACACAUCCAUAUUUGUUCGGGACGGGUGGCAACCCUAUCUGUAGUGUCUAUUCUAUGCGGCUUAUAAUGCGGCGCGCCUUAUAUAUGAAAAAAGUUUUAAAAUAGGCCAUUCAUUGAA